rnacentral:rRNA from 1 species
AUUCCUCCAACUGAUCCGUUAGAACAAUAUUUGCUAGACCAUGAAAACGAUAUGUUUAUGAAGGAAAGGGAAGAAAUAGAUGAAGUGUUCCUUAAACAGGAACCUAUGCUGAAACAUAACCUUCCCGUUGAAAUUCUUGGGGAUCCCCCUCCACCCAAGGGUGAUCCCGUAUUUGAACUAAAACCUUUACCUGAUAAUCUUAAGUAUGCCUAUGUUGAUGAAAAAGAAAUAUAUCCUGUUGUUAUUAGUGCUAACCUUUCAGAGAAAGAAGAAGAAAGACUAUUGAAAACUCUGAAGAAGCACCGAGCUGCUAUUGGAUAUACUCUGGAUGUUCUUAAGGGCAUUAGUCCCACGUUAUGUCAACACAAAAUCUCAGUGGAGAAAGAU